CCAUCACACUCGUUAAUUUGGCAGUCAAUCUUAAUUUUCAGAAGAAUGGCUCACAAUAUAAAAUAUUUUAUAGAAAUAAAUGUAAAUAUAUUUUAAUGUUAAAAAAAGGAAGGAUAAUAUAGAGUUAUCGACCAACUAACAUGUGGAGAAACACUAAAUGGGAGUGACUUGUCGGUGUACAACAUAAAAUUAGAAUAUGAAAUUCUAGCAAUCUCUUUAUGGAUUAAAUGUUGGCACGAGGGAAAUCCAGGCUACAGCAUAAUAAAGUAUAAUAAAAUUAGAGCUGGUGGCGGAACAAAGGACUAUCGAUUUAUGAUCAGUCGCGUUGGUCAUCAAACAACAAUUUCGCAUAUGCUUCGACACUCAUACGUGAAACAUUACGAUGCGGUUAUAAAAUAUUACGAAAUGGGUACAAAAGUGCAGUUGGGACCAGAACAGGAAUCGUACGUAAGUAUACUUCCCUUGAUAUUCUUAUCUUUUUCGGUGGCCAUUCUGCUGUGAUUUAUUCGUUUUCCAGGGAUUUAUUCACGCAUGCACAUGACACGACGGGAGUGAGAGACCUGUUGCGACCGGCUUGCGGUCGAAUUGCAAAAAGAUUGAAUCUGCCACGUAAUAUGCUGCAGCGCUCAGUAACAUUGUAUAAACCGACGUAAUUUAACUGCUUUCGUUGGUCGAAAUUAAAAUCGGGUUGUUCGUAUUUUGUCGCGGUGUCUACGGAUCUACAAUAUUUCCGUUAUAUUAUGAAUCAUAACAAGACAGACAGGAAGACAACAGUUUAUGUUCCCUAGGUCGGUUAAAUCUACUUACAAUUUAAUGUAAUUAGAAUGUAACUAGACAUACCUAUCUUGAUACAGUGAGAACCAACACGGUCUUGUCAAUUACAUAGCGACCGCUAAGCAACACUCCGAUUACCAAAUCAACGUGGAUUUAUCUCAUUCAGUCGAGGUAGAGAUAAUAAUUAGAUUACCCAUACUUGGUUGGUACUGUAAAUUAAAGGCAAGUAAGUUUACGAUACCAACAGUCAACAUGUUAAAAAUAUUAUUUCCAUGGAGAUUCCUACGCAUGCAUCUAUGUUGUAACAAAAUCGUCAAAAUUAUUUAUAUAUAAUUAUAUGUACGUGUCUUAAUA
rnacentral:misc_RNA from 1 species